rnacentral:rRNA from 1 species
UGGGGAAUCAUGGUCAAUGGGCGAAAGCCUGAACCUGCGACGCCGCGUGAGUGAUGAAGGUCGUAAGAUCGUAAAACUCUUUUCAGGGAUCUUAAAGCCUGUCUGUCAACAACAGGCAGGUCUGACUCUCCCUGGAAGAAGCCCCAGCCAACUACGUGCCAGCAGCUGCGGUAAUACGUAGGGGGCGAGCGUUAUUCGGAAUUACUGGGUGUAAAGGGUGCGUAGGCGGAUUUGCAAGUCAGGUGUGAAAACUAUCGGCUUAACCGGUAGCCUGCACUUGAAACUGUGAGUCGUGAGUGGUGAAGAGGUAAGCGGAAUUCCUAGUGUAGCGGUGAAAUGCGUAGAUAUUAGGAGGAACACCAGUGGCGAAGGCGGCUUACUGGGCACUAACUGACGCUGAGGCACGAAAGCAUGGGGAGCAAACA